GUUUUUAAAAUUUAGAAUUUAAUAUGUUCAAAUUAAAACGUGAUAAACAAAAAUAAAAUUUGUAUGAAAGUAUGAGGGAUAAAAUUUGGUUUGAAUACGGCCAGCCACUACAUUACGUUUGGGAGUACAAAUUGGGUGCCUUUUUAGGGCAGGUGAAAUCAUUUACUUGAUUAAUCAUUUCGUCGAUUAAGUGAGAGGUAAGACUUGUCUCUACCUCCUUUUUUGAGAUAUUUUUAUCAACGAUGCAUCCAAUACAUUAUUGGAAAAAUUACAGGAAAAAUCUCAAAGUUUGAUACUGAUAACAAAUAAAACUCUGAUCUUUUGAUUUUUUCAAUUAAAAACCUCUCCUUCUAAAUUGGUUCUAUUCCAACCUUCCUUCUAUAUUCGUUAAACAAUCUUGACGGAAGAGCUCUACAUUUGUAAUUUUGUCUAGCUUCUUUUGGCUAAUUUUGACGGACUUGCUCUAUCCAUCAUUUUUUUAUUUCCCAAUUUAAUUAAACAAUGGCUUGAACUAAUGUCGAAAAAGGUGUAGGUACUAGGAAUAAGAAGGGGUGUGAACAGAUGCACUAAAAGAGGAAAGAAGAAAGUGUAAAAUGACAAGACUACCCUUUUUCUGCUACCCAUUUUUAAUCAAGGUCGGUAGAUAACGUCUAAUUGCUUUAAUUGAUACCAAUUCAGAAGUGUCUUCCGGGGUCUAUUCAAGAAAAAUUAAAAUCUCAUAGUUUAGAUGUUUGUUAGUUUUAUUAGCUACCCAUUUCACUUAGUCAACUUUGUAUAUAAUCAAAAGGUAAAGUGGGCCCUAAUAAUGAUGGUUUAUUCUUUUUCCAAAGAUUCUUUUCCAUAUGGGAAUCCUUGCCUUGUAAAAUUUUCUCUGUCAUUUUAUGUGUGCUGGAACCUCUGGCUUGUUUUAUUGCUAGCUUGUGAUUGUAAUUAUCAUUAACAAAAGAUUAACAACUGUUUUUAAGUGAGUGACAGUUCAGCUACCUCAGAAAAAUAACUCAUCUGUAUUGAAUUUAAUUUGUUAAUAGAUCACCAACUUGGGGGUUGUAUAAAGUGGAUUGCCUGCAUCGAUGGUGCUAUCAAUCUUGAGUUAGACUAGUCUUGUGGUUUUUUUUUCCGACUUUAAAUAGUGUCUCAUUCGCAAUCUAGGUCUAGGACUUGGAAAAGAGUAAAAUUGGGUGAUUUGGACUAAUUCAUUCGGGUUUUUUCCGACUUUAAUUGGUGUCCCGCUGAUGAUCUAGGUAUAGGACUUGGAAAAAAAGAGAAACUGGGUAGACAUAAGAGUAAUCAGGUGACCGUAUCAAUACCCUAGUAAUUUUAGUUUACUUCCUAGUAACCAAAUUUAGUAAAAAUUUGCAAUAACUCAUUAGAAAAAUCCGUAAAAUUCAUUUUGGGGAAAGUCCCAAAUUAUCUUAGGGUCAUGUUUUGACAUUGAGCUUGAGAACUUAUGGAACCUCAGUCGCUAACGAUGUAGCAAAUGGGUGGGUUAUAAGGUUAGAAACUGAAGCUCAAAACGGCUUAUAUAGACUUGUUUCUAAGAUUUUUGUUGAUUGAUUUGUAUAAUGAAAAAAGAAAAAAGUCUGUUAAAGACAAAAGUACACCUAAAGGUGCGAUUCAUCCCGCUUCCACCUAAAGGUGCAAUUUAUCCCAAACAAGACCUUAAACUCAGUAUUUCUUACUAGCAUGUUUAAAUUGUUAACAACUAACUUAUCUAAGGUUUUAAGUUUCCCAAUGAGUAAAUAAUAAUAAUAAUAACACAUCAAAUUUCUUGGGUCAUUUGAUCAAAGUAUUCAGAGUGAAUGGGCCGAGAACCUUAGCCCAAACUCCUUUAAAAGCAAGGACCAGUUUUCUACGGGCUUACGGAUCCAAUAAGAAAUUAGUAGUACAAGUUUAUCACCACUGAUUUUGCAUCAUGACCACAAAAAAAAAAAAUUAAUAGGAAAAAUUACAUAAAAAGUUAUAAAGUUUGACUAUGAAAAUAAAAUUAACUAUAAAAUUUAAUUAUAAUAAAUCAAAUGUAGUAGUUUUAAUUUGGUAAUAAUUUAAAUCAUCCGUUAGUCUCUAUCUAUCUAAAGGUUAAAUGAACCAAACAAAUCUCACGCCAAAAUGCACUAAAACACAUUGUUUAAUUUUUUUCCCUUUCUAAAACCCUUAAACGACCGUUCUCAGUACAAAAUGGCAAAAAAAUAGAGUUUUUUUGAAUAAAUACAAAACUGAAACUUUCUAAUAGUUUAUCUUGUUAAUUGGUUCAAUUAGAAUUUGAAAAGAUGAUAGUAUUGUCCGAAAUCAUUUUCAUGCAUUUUGGGCAUGAACUAGUUUGUUCAAUUAGCCAUAGAUAAAUGAAUAUUAGCGGAUGAUUUAAAUUAUUACCAUAUUAAAAUUAUAAGGUUUAAUUUAUUAUUAAUUGAAACUAUAUGAUUUAAUUUAUUCUUAUGAUCAAAAUUCUUUCUUUUCUUUUUUUGUAAUUUUCCAAUUUAAUAUUUGCAUGACAAAAAAUAAA
rnacentral:lncRNA from 1 species